UUGGCCCUUGACCAGCCUGAUUGGUUGCAGGAGGGGACCAAUCAGAGGUACCUCCCAUUUUUCAUCUGCAGCCCAAUGCAAAGUAAUGACAUGGAUCUGGAGAGAUUCUCUUAGGAGAGAAUCUGGCUAAGUGUCUAGCAGGAUGAUUGAUUAACAAGAUGUUUUGUUUUCAUCAUCUCAGAGAUAACUGUAUUGAGGUAUAAUUGAUAUGCCAAAUAACUGGACACAUUCAACUUGUGCAAUUUGAUGAGUUUGGAGAUACACAUACAUCUGUGAAACCAUCACCAAAAUCAAGAGUACAUGGUUUCCAGGCCAAAUACCACAGUGUUCCAGGCAAGGAUGUGGUCAGUUUCCUUCUCUGCUGGAUCCCAAAGCCCAGGGCAGCUCUUGCACAUAGAUCGUUGUCAUUGGAUUUAAGAGGGCCUACCCUGAUAAUACAGGAUAAACUCCUUCUCCCAAAACCUUUUCUUCUCUCAGAAUCUUUUGGCAGCAAACACAUUCAAGCAUCUUCUAUGUGCCAAGAACUUGCUGGAAAACAUCACAAAAGUUAAUAUUUUCUGGAGAUCAAGGAAUGAAACUCAGCCCUCUGCAAAUGGAACACAAACGCCUGGUACAUGGAUGCUACAAUGAAAAGAAUAUGGGUGCUGAAAUCAGAGAGAAUCAUCCAAGAUGAUCCUUAUGCAUGCUGAACUCUGAGAGCCACCAGUGAAGAAGAUAAGUGACCCAUCUACCUGUAGCUGGAAAAUAAAGGCUCUUUGGGAUUCUUUCCCAUGAGUCUUCAUUUCACCAUAUUGGUGAGAGAAGGCAUUCAGGCCCAAUAAUUAACUGAACAUUAGCUGUGUACCAGACACUGUGGUCGACAUUGAGAUAUAACGGAUUUAAGAAAGUCUUUGUGGCUGUGGUGGCUUCAAAUCACUCCCGAGGCUUUAGAAGAAUAUAAUUGCCGUUCUAAGAAGAAUCUGAGGCCUCUAGGAGAUCUGCCAGUAGUGGCCCCAAUGUAUAACAGCACUAGCUCAGUGAAGAGAGAGAGAAAAGAUCUGAAGAGAGUGGUUGCAGUUUGAGCUCUGUCAAUGGGACAGUCCUGGGCAGGAGACUGGGGAGAAGAGGCGGCUUGCUGGUUUUCCUGAACCACUUCCACCCUGAAAGACUCCUUGCAUACAAUCAUCAGAGAAGAACCGUGGGAACCAAGAACCAUGAGCAGGAGAACCAUGAGCACACUGUUCGCAAUGGCCAAGAUUUGGAGGCAACCUAAGUGUCCAUCGACAGACAAAUGGUUAAAGAAAAUGAGGGAGGAGGAAAAAACCAUGGCUGCGGAGGUGAUUUAAUAUCCUGUUGACUCUGAAGAAAAAUACACUUCUUCAUUAUAAGAGUUUUAUUGCCAAUGACUAGAAGGAAAUGUAAAGGGGACAACACAAGAUGACUAACACAGGAAGUUAUAAAACUCACAGCUCUAACUGUCAUGGCCCUGGGCCCAUGGUGCCUGAAUCCCUCUGGGAGUAUUAAAUGGAAGGCCCCCUGGUACCUGAAUUUUGUUUUAGUUUUCUCUCUCCAUCUCUGUGAUUACACAUAAAAUCAGCCAAGCACCUGCUCCCCUCCAGCCUAGAUAACACAUACCUCCAUGCUAUAAAGGGACAAUUUGACCAAGAGACACCCACCUCACCUGACCACAGAGCUGGAAAAUCUACUAUGUCAGACUUCCAUGCAACCGCUGGUGGGAGAAAGUUUUCACGAGUCUCUCUGGGCCCUUAUCCCUCUCCCCUGUAUUCCCAUCCUUAUCCAAAUCCACAUUUCACCAAACUCCCUAACGCUAAGCAGCUGUUGAAGUUCAGAUCACAGUCUCUGAGGAGCUCCUGGUUUCCCAUGGAAUGUGAUUUGCCUCAUCAUCUUACAGCCUGCCUCCACUUUGCUUUCUUAUCAUUUCAGAGGCU
rnacentral:lncRNA from 1 species